rnacentral:rRNA from 1 species
UACGAAGGGGGCUAGCGUUGUUCGGAUUUACUGGGUCGUAAAGCGCACGUAGGCGGAUCGUUAAGUCGGGGGUGAAAUCCUGGAGCUCAACUCCAGAACUGCCUUCGAUACUGGCGAUCUUGAGUCCGGAAGAGGUGAGUGGAACUCCUAGUGUAGAGGUGGAAUUCGUAGAUAUUAGGAAGAACACCAGUGGCGAAGGCGGCUCACUGGUCCGGUACUGACGCUGAGGUGCGAAAGCGUGGGGAGCAAACAGG